GACGAACGCUGGCGGCGUGCUUAACACAUGCAAGUCUGCGAGAAAGGGGUAGCAAUAUCCUGAGUAAAGCGGCGCACGGGUGAGUAACGCGUAGGCAAUCUACCUGAAAGACGGGAGCAACCUCGCGAAAGCGAGGCUAAUUCCCGAUAAUGCAGCGGCACCGCAUGGUGAUGUUGUUAAAGGCCUUCGGGCGCUUUCAGUUGAGCCUGCGUCCCAUUAGGUAGUUGGCGGGGUCACGGCCCACCAAGCCGACGAUGGGUAGCUGGUCUGAGAGGAUGAUCAGCCACACUGGAACUGAGACACGGUCCAGACUCCUACGGGAGGCAGCAGUGAGGAAUAUUGCGCAAUGGCCGAAAGGCUGACGCAGCGACGCCGCGUGAAGGAUGAAGUCCGUUAGGAUGUAAACUUCUUUUGCAGGGGAUGAAUAGUCCGUUUUACGGAUCUGACCGUACCCUGCGAAUAAGGAUCGGCUAACUACGUGCCAGCAGCCGCCGCAGUAA
rnacentral:rRNA from 1 species